AGGGAAUAUUGGACAAUGGGCGAAAGCCUGAUCCAGCCAUGCCGCGUGUGUGAAGAAGGUCUUCGGAUUGUAAAGCACUUUAAGUUGGGAGGAAGGGCAGUAAGUUAAUACCUUGCUGUUUUGACGUUACCAACAGAAUAAGCACCGGCUAACUUCGUGCCAGCAGCCGCGGUAAUACGAAGGGUGCAAGCGUUAAUCGGAAUUACUGGGCGUAAAGCGCGCGUCGGUGGUUUGGUAAGAUGGAUGUGAAAUCCCCGGGCUCAACCUGGGAACGGCGUGCAUAACUGGCUGAGUAGAGUACGGUAGAGGGUGGUGGAAUGUCCUGUGUAGCGGUGAAAUGCGUAGAUAUAGGAAGGAACACCAGUGGCGAAGGCGACCACCUGGACUGAUACUGACACGGACGUGCGAAAGCGUGGGGAGCAAACA
rnacentral:rRNA from 1 species